rnacentral:rRNA from 1 species
AUGAGAUUCAACAAUACAGACACCUGCAGCUACAUCUCCCAAAUAUGCACAUGGUUUCAUACCAUGGCAAAGAAAAAAAUAAGGAAUGUUAUCAACCAUGAAGGAACAGAAAUAUCAAUGUUGACAGUGUACUUUCAAGCAAACAUCUUACAUGAGAAAGCACGAGGUAUACUAUACAGAGACUUUCCAGAAUAUUAUACUUGGCAAACACAAGGGAAGUUCUGGCAAGAGAGGAAACGAGACGCUUUGUUCCAGGUUGGCAGGAUCGUCUCAGCACAUCCGGCUGAAGGAGAACGAUACUAUCUUCGAGUUCUCCUAAACCACGUGACAGGCGUGAUGAGCUAUGAAGACCUACGAACAGUCGAUGGACAGCUAAUGCCAACCUUCCAUGAAGCUGCAGAAAAACGAGGGCUCAUUGAGGCAGACAACACAUUGGAUGACUGCAUGAUAGAAGCAAAGUUAUUUCGAAUGCCAUCGUCAUUACGAAGGCUAUUCGCGACAAUCCUGGUGUUUUGCGAGCCAAGCAACGUUUGUAGCCUCUGGAACAAACACCUAGAGUCAAUGUCAGAAGACUACAAUAGAAACUGCAAAUGCAAGCACAUGGUUGAACAGAUGGUGCUGAGAAAUAUUAGGGACAUGUUGCACUCAAUGGGAAAAGACAUAAAAUCAUUUCCUCUUCCAGAGAUUGACAAACAACAUGAGACGACAGACGACAUACCUAGGGAAAUCAUCGAGGAGACCUCGAUUGAGGUGGACCCCGAGGACGCAUCUUUACAUAAAAACCUAAACAACGAGCAGAGGAAGGCCUACGAUGAAAUUCUACACACAAUUGACCGCCAAAGAGGAGGCAUAUUCUUUGUCGAUGGACCAGGAGGCUCAGGAAAAACUUUUCUUUACAGGGCGCUCUUGGCCACAAUACACGGACAAGGAAAGAUUGCUGUGGCGACAACCACUUCUGGUGUUGCUGCUUCCAUAAUGCCCGGAGGGAGGACGACACACUCGAGGUUCAAGAUUCCACUGAAAAUAGACGAUGGAGCUAUUUGUGGAUUCACUAAACAAAGUGGGACAACCAAGCUACUCCAAGCAGCAUCACUAAUAAUCUGGGACGAAGCAUCUAUGACUAAGAGGCAGAUAGUGGAGGCGCUAGACAAAAGCAUGCGGGACAUAAUGGACAGACCAGAUCUUCCAUUCGGUUGA